CUGCAAAGCUCAAACACUCAUCUUUGGGUAAGUGAUACAUAAUUUUCUCUUCUGUUCAUUUAUAACUCUGGAUGUCUUUGGAUUUGUCACAUCUUGAAUUUUUUUUCCCUCUGUGCUGGAUCAGACCUGAUUUUCCUCAUGAUGGUGAUGUCGGCUUUGUGAUGGAGCUAAGUCCCUUGUGGUUAACGAGCUGGUGUUACAUGUUUUUUAUGACUAUAGGUGCAAAAUGUACAACUGAUUGGUCCUUAAAGACAUAUUUUUAUUCUCUUAAUUGUGCUUUUUAAGGUAGUAGCUACCAGAGAUUUCUACUCAAUAUUGGGUGAAAUUCAAGCUGAGCACCUGUGACCUAUUUUUCCACUCAUUUUUACCUAGUUCAAAUCACAUUUAUACCAUCACUGUGUCAACUGUUUCAUAUUAGUUUAGUAAUUUUGAUUGUUUAUUGAUUUUAAUUCUGACAGGAUAUGGUUCAAUGAGACUUUAAUUCACUUAAGUUUUUUUUACCUCGAUAGGAUGUGGUCCAAACAAAGACCUAAUAUUUUAUUUUAGAUUUAAGGGUUUAUAAAAACGUACCCAUAUGGGCUGUGUGGCAUCAAAAAGAUAAUUCUCCCUAAUCAAUAGGGAAACAUUUUCAGGGGUUUGUGUAAAUGAACACUCAAGUACUCUCGCUGUACACCUUUAUCCAAACUCCAAGUAGAGUAUGCACCAACCACACCAAGGUUAAGCAGCCAUCUUAUGAAACAAGAGGGUUAACUUUAACAUAAAUCUUUGUAACCAGUUGCACUCCUGGGAAGAGGAGUCUGGUGGGUAAAAAGAGGUCAUGGUCAAAAAAUUAAAACUGCAACUGUGGGUUGUGAUCAUAGACUGUAUAUUGAAUGGACACCAUCUGCCUUGUCACCAGGUGAAGCCACCACAAGAACAGCACCCUCUGGUGACGGGCUUCAGUAUAGGUCAUUAAUCCCGCCUCCUCCAGCAAUCCCUAUGGAGCUGUGGACAAACUUUAGAAAUUAAUUACACAGAAUAUACAUUUUUUCUCCCCCCUGCUCGCGAUGUUGACAUGUAGUUGCUGUUAGACUGGUUUGUGCUCAAGUCCUCUUUUUUCUGUACAGCUCAAUUUUUAAAAGUUAUUAGGGGAUUCAUGUUUUCUAUGAUUGGCACUUGAUACAGCCUAUGGGCGUACAAAGAUUACAUAGCUCACCCGGGGAAUACGCAGUUUAAGCCGAGCGUCAUCACAGCGAUUCUCUGCGACUUUCCUGCUGAAGGCGUACAAUGCUAUUGGGCAAGCGAUGGUUCCAGGUAGUGGAGAAAACCCUGGAAUUACCACCAGCAAUUCGGCUUCAAAUUAGUAUAAUGACAUAAGGCGGAACCCAGUUGUCCAUAGUACAUAUAGUCUAUGGUUGUGAUACAUGAAAACAUCUCGAUUUGACUUGGCAAAACAACUUGAAAACAGUGACCUGCUCAGAUUUUUAUCAAAGCCACUGUCAGUAGUGAUUUGCACACACAUGUUGAGUGCAAACAAGAAUAUGGAAAGAAAAUGAGGAACUAAAAAGUGAUCAAUACAAAGAUUUAGCAGUGCUGCUGCUCUUAUGUCUUCAGUUGCAUGCUUGUGUUCAAACAAAAUGGUAUUUUUAGUUCAUGCAUAUUCAUAAUAUGAGCAAACCUGUUAAUUUUUGUAGCUUUCUUAAAGUGGUUGCCAUGCUGAUGUGCUAAUGUUUCAUGCUUAUGUUUGACAGUAAGCGUAAACACUUGAAGACCAAAGGUUGUCAUUAGUGGGUUUUUUUUUUUUCCCCGUGCACGACUAAAAUUUUCUAGAGGUCUCAGGAGCUCUGCCCCUGGAGUAUUCAAAAGUUGCAUGCUCACACUUUUCUUACAGCAUGAAGUGAAGGUGUGAAGUCUCCAGAGAUAGUACUGCAGUAGCAUGCUGCAACAAACAUGUACAUCAGUGAUUCCAAUCCAGGUUUAUUGAUAUAGCAUAUUUAAAUACAACAAAGCGCUGACCAAAGUGCUGUACAGUAAAAUUAAAAACAAAAUAAAAAGAACCAGACAAUUAACAUAAACAAUAAAACAAGACACAUGAACACAUUAAAAACAGGUGGACAUAGUGAUUCAUCCAAACAGACUGAUGUGCCUUUUUCUAAGCUGUCUUUGUCUAUGAAAAUGAUUCUUCUUUGGCAAUCGUGUUCACCCUGGUAGUUUUGCUCUUUCCGGUUCACACAAAAUAAUUUGUCAUGACCUCCACUUGUGUUUUUGGUGAAUUUCCCCUAUGUUUUCCUGCUGCGGAUAACUUCAUUUUGACUUCAUGCCAAAAUUGAACUUUAGUGGUUGGCAGGUUAUAUCAGGGUGACAAUUUUAGCAAUUUGCAUUCACUGUACAGCUCACCCAGAAAUUUCCAGGGGGGGGAUUCUGGGAGUAUUGUGCAAAUGUGAAUACAUGUGAUUCAAUUAGCUUCUGAGCUGUGGCGAAGUAAACUCAAGACUGUAACCUAAAAGGCGCACUGGAUUAUACGGCACACUGUGAAUUAAUGUGUCUAUGUUUCACGUAAGGCGCAACGGAUAGUACGGCGCAUCAAGUAUUGAUUGGUUAAUUGUUGCUAGCGUGUCCUCCGGGCCUGGGCUGCCUUACAUAAAUGCACUUCUAGUUUAGACAUUACAGUCAGGCAGCCUUGUAGACUGCUCAGGGGUCCUGUUACGGGGCCGAUCAGGUAGCGAGUGACACAACGUAACAUAAUGCUCCGAAUGUCCACUGAGCAGUUUUGUUGCUUACCAAAGUUGUACUUACACAUUUCGACAGAUUUUUGAGGAGCGCAUUGUACCACAUAAAAUUGGUCAGUGAGCACAACAAGUUAUCAUACAUAAGGCGUGCUGGAUUAAAAGGCACAUGGUCCAUUUUUUGGAAAUUGAAGGAUUUUAAGUGCGGUUAUAGUCCGAACAAUACGGUACUCAUUUAGACCUGCCUUUCUUUAAUCUGUCUGUGCCUGCUUUUGUGCCUAUUUUGCAUUUUUAUUGCAACAAAUUUUGUGAUAUUUCUUCUUGAAUGAUAAAUUUUUACAAACUUGCUGUCAUUCACAGUAUUUUAAUGUUUUAAAGGAAAAAAUGCUCUGAGCAGUGUGUGUAACCUGCUCAUUAGUGUUUGAAUGGAUUAUAUACAGUAUGGUAAAAUAGUUUACAUCAGGUAUCAUUAUAUCGGAGUGCUUAGUGACAUAUUAGUGAGUUGCUUGGCUAGCAAAUUGCACCACUAAUUUGCUCCAGCACUUAAAUGUGUCUGCUUGUGUGUAUGUGUGUAUGUGUGCAUGCACAUGUGUACUCUCACAGACACACACACGUACUCUACAGAGCUCGGUGCAGGACUGAACAGUGAUGGAUUGGGUCCCACAGGCCUCUGGUGUGUUUAUUUCCAGAGUCCAGCCGGUGGCUCAGGUCAUUCCAGGGAUCAAAGGCUACGACUGGAUCACAGCAGCUUCCCUCCCUCUGGUCCAGGGACUUACCCUUCACCCCGCCCCUCUCCAACCACCCCGCCUCUCCAGAUGAAGACGGAUUGUAAGUUUUGUGCUCAGGUUUGACAGCCUCUUCAUUUACUUCUUUCUGAUAGAAGACACCCUCCUGUACUCGCUGCCAGAGGCAAUAUAUUUGACUGUCAUUUCAAUUCUGAUUUUUUGCUCGUGUUAUCAUCAUGUCAAACUCUCCUCAGAGACGGAAGAUUAUCUAGCAGCUGUAAGGAUGGACAUGGUGAAAUCAUUACUCGAAUUAAGUGCGAUGUAGUUUGAGUGCAGUUAACAGAACAAACAAACUGAAAACAAAACAAACAAACUGGAGUUGCUUAUUCAAGCGAAAGUGGUGGUUUAUUCCUUUAAAUACGUGUCCAUUUACCUUUGAAAGACCUCAUCUUAAUUUUGAAAUAAUUCCUAUUAUCAAUCAAUCAAUCUAUGUUUACUGUGUUUGUGAUCUAAUCCUAAAUGUAAACUGAUAAACAUACUGCAAAUAUAACCUGGUUUAUUUUCAGUGAUAAAGCUAGCAGGCCAAUGGAACAUCCUUCCUAAACACAUAAAAUGUAAUAUCUUAAUAUCUUCUUUAGAUUUAAUUAUAAAACAGCAUGAGACUCAGCAGCCCCUCUCAGGAACUUUCCCAUCAGUCCCCUGCUUUUCACAGUCUGGUUCCCAUCUUACUGAGUGGAAUAUGUGAGGGGUUAGAUACUGGGGAUAAGCUCCCCUGGCUAAAACUCCAUGAAAUGGAGCAAUGGGAUUAUGGGGUCCAUGCACAAGUCCUAAGCAAUCCUCUGUGAAACAGAUUGCCCUUGUUGAGCUAUAGUUCUAAAAAGUGCUGUUUAGGGCUUUCGGAGAGGGCCUUCCAUUCUGGAUCUGAAUAUUUUAAAUACUGAGUUAAAUAGUUCUUAUCCAAUACUUGUAUUUGUUGAGAUAAUAGACUAAAUCUUUUCUUUAUGUCUACAAAAAUGAUUAGAGACUUUCACUCAAAGAUGUCUUCAGUUUAUACCAUUUAACCAAGCCUAUCUAGCCUUGUUGAAAAAUCACAUAUAAUCUAAAUUGUACUCAGAAUAAUGUGAUGAUAACCCCAGAUUCAAAACAGGUGAGACACUUUAAAAAUGCUGACGUAAACAGAUUGUGAUUGUUUGAAAAUCAUUUAAAUCUUAUAUUUAAUUGAAAUUUGUGCACAGACGACAUAUCAAAUGUUGAAACGGAAAAAAAAAAUGUGUAACUGUUUCACGAAAUUUUUUUGGCUUACUCCAAAACUGAUGCUAGCAACACACUCAAAAUAGUUCAGACAUACAGGGACAACAAAACGCUGAAAAAGCGGUGUUAAAAAAAAUAAAAAGAAAGAAAAAGACAUGGAGGAAAAUCCCAAACUAAUGAGGAUAAUUUGCAACAGGUUGGUAAAAUGCUUGAGUAUAAAAAGGGAAAUUUAGAGCGGCAGAAAUGCUCAAAAGUGAAGCUAGGAAGAGGUUCACCACUUUGAGAGACACUGUAUGAGAAUAGUUCAUUAAUCUUAGAAUAAUACUCCUCAGCGCAAAAUUGAAAAGAAUUUCAAAAUGUCCUUAUCUUUAUUAUAAUUAAUAUCAUUAGAGGAUUGACAGAAUCUGGGGAAAUCAUUGUACAACAGAGACAAGGCCAGUUACAGAUACUGGAUGACCAUAUUGUGCGGAACUGCAUUAAAGACAGACAUGACUCUGAAGUGGAACUCACUGCACAGGCUUAAAAUCACCUCCAGAAACCAGUCUGUGAACACAGUUUGUUGGUGCUUCCAUUAAUGCAGGUUAAAAGUGGACCAUUCUGAGAGGAAAGCAUGUAUAAACAUGAUCACGGCAACAUUCUCCGCUGGGUUCAUUUAAGGUGGACUGAAGAAAAGUAGAAAACUGUUCUGGGAUCGAAAAGUCCACAUUUGACAUUAUUACUGAAUGCUGUAGUCACUGUAAAAAGGAGCGGAACCACACACUCUGGUUUUAACAGACGAUCAGGAAGCCUGUAUCUUGGAUGAUAUGUUGAUACAUACUGUAAGUGCUCAUGGCAUGUGUCGUCUAAACAUCUGGAAGGGUCCAUUAAUCCUGAACAAUAUCUACAGAUUUUAAAGCAACAUAUGGUGCUCUCCAGAAAAUACUCUUUUCAGGAAACAAGCCAAAGACAAACCACAUUCUGCACAUGUGACAACUGCAUGGCUCUGUGGUAGAAACGUCCCAGUAAUAAACUGAUUCUGCUACAGUCCUGAUAUUUCACCCAUGAAAACAUGAAAUAUGAAGCAAAAACACACGAGGUCCUGAACUAUUGAGUGACUGGAAUUUUGUUAAUUUAGUAUUGCAUUAAAUCAAUUAACAAGCCAUCAAGUUCUUGUUUUUUGCGUAAUCUUUACUCUUUUUUUUACAAUUUCCACAGUAUCCCAGCUCUUUAAAUCAUCAGAUUGAAAACUGUCAAACUAUCAAAUAUAAAAAAAAAUAUCUUGGUAACUUCACUUUUACCAAACAACAAAUACAUUUCCCAUCCAAAAGCCAAUAAACUGGCUACAACUCACUCUUUCUGUGGUGAUGAAAUCUGCAUGAUGAUGGAAGCGAAUAGAGAGUGAAGACUGGUCGUGAUUCUGGUGUAAUUGAUCAGUUUUCCGCCAGUCUUCUCUUGUAUUUCCCUUUUUUAGUUUAAAUAAUAAUCGUACAAUUUUAAAAAUUAGGUGUCAUGCAUUGGGAUAAGAACAGCACAGUGAUUAAAAGAACUACAAGAAUGACUUUAUAGUAUUAGGUAACAACAGACAUAUAAAGAAAAUCUUGCUAAUGAUUUCUGUACAUUCUCCAAUAGAUAAACCUUAUAGAAGGGAGAAGCGGGCAGGCAAAUCAAGCCCACUUUGAGUAUGUGUUGGACAGGCUGGGCACUUUUGACAGAGGUCUUCUUCUAAUGUUAAACAGUCAUUUGUGUCAGCAGAUGAUCUAUAACUCGUCCUAUCAGUGCCCUCUUCACAGCGUGGCGCUGAAACAAUCUCCAAGCCAAACUGCCCUCCUCUCCCUCAGCCCUGCUAUCUUUAUAUUGAAAUAUUGUGAUUAUUCCCCUGGUUCAGGAGAGGCUUGCUAUAAUCGCCAGACAAAUGAUGUGGAAAAGCAAUAAAAAGCUGCUCCCAAGAGACUCUUCUAGCUGGCCGAGUGACACAGCCAUGAGGGAUACGAGCUGCUGAUGUGUCUAUGGAGAGUGAUCUGGGUUGUAGCAAAGCAGUGCCUCAGAGCCAUAGAUCUGCUCUGCUUAAAGGGGAUUUGACUAAACAAAUGGCAGCAUAUGGUAGAUGAGAGAGAGGAGGCGAGUGGAGAAAGGGAGAGGUGGCAUUGUUUUCAGAGAGAAAGGACGGGGGUUGCAGUGAAGGGGGGUCCCGUGUCUCUCCUCCCCUCUUCAAUCUUUCAUUAUGUUGUCACACUCUAGCUGCGUGCUUCCAGUAACACUUUAAUUAGCCUCCAUGAGUUUAAUUGUGCGUGUAUGUCUGCCAGCUUGUUUUGCUGCGUAAAUCUGUCUUGUUUGUUUUUACCCACUCUGAGAAUCAGUGCUGCUGCAGGAAACACUGCACACCUCCACAUUAACUCCUAAUUUUUUACUCCCAUUCUUUUAUUUCUAUUCAAAUGAGAUUUCUGCACAUGGCUCUUUCAGGAGGAUAUAUCCUGCAGCUUCACGGUAACAUUAUGUCUCCUAGAUGCUCGGGAGAAAUUCAGUGAUAUUUUGGAUGUUUUAAAUAAAUCCACCCCCUAAUGAUAUGUCACUUUGUGGACAAAGUUUUUUAGGCUGGUAAGAGUUACUUUAAAAGUUUAUACAUUUUUUCAUAAACUUUUACCAGUUUUAUCUGCUUGCCUUCACCCUACCUGACACCUGUUUUCCCUGUCUCCAAGACUUACCUGCAUCCAGCUCCACCACCUCCUCCUCACACCAACCUCUCCCUCUGCACUCUAGGACCCUUACCAUCUUUCCUGUAACCUUGCAUCCUCAUUAAUGGUACGUUUUUGAAAACAAGACCUGUGUAAGUCUGCUUUUAAGUUCUGCCAUAAAUCCUAACAGUGGUUUUGAUUUCAUUUGCAUGUUUUUGUGUAUUGUUCUAAAUAAAAGACUGACACAGCUGAUUAUAAACAAAAAGUCAAAAUGGUACAAAUAAAGGUGAUUUAAUGAGAUAAUGACAAACUCUGUGAAGGAGGUAAGCAAUGAGAAAAAAAAUCCUGUUUCCUUCACAGUAUUUUUUUUAUCCCAUGACAUUUCAACACCUUGGUUUGUUGCCACUGUGAUGGAAAACAACACCACUGCACUUUGAAUCACACAUUUAUUUACCAGGUGGUUUUAUUCGACAAAUCAAAAUGUUAAAUGGAUUAUGUUUUAGUUGUGGAUUCUCCUGUCUUUGAUCGCUCAAAGCACUUUUAAAUUACAUGUCACGUUCACCUUUACACAUCGUAUUCAUACACUGAUGGCAAAGGCUGGUAUAUAUAGAGUCCAUCAGUUUUUGACUAUUUCCAUUCACACACUACUGGGUGGGGCUGGGUAGGGCCAAGUGACUAACCCACAGACACUUGGACGGCCAAAGGAUCAAACCCUUGAUCUUCUGACUGGGAGAUGACUGACUCUACUAUUAAGCUAAAGCUGCCCCAAAAGUAAAAUGCACUUUGCCAAAAGCCUUGCAGUCUAGGCGCACCCCUUACCCCCCUGCCUGCACAAGGAGUCCGGGUUCAAUUUCACCCUGUGGAUCCUAUCCAUCCCUGCUCUCUUCCCCCUGUUUUCUGCUUUAUCCACUGACGCAUACCUGUCAAUAAAGGCCAAAAUUACAUCUAAAAAAAGACAUGAAUAUAUAUGUACUUUAUGUCAACUGGAAUUGAAUCAACCAAGUACUUCUUGGCAGUUUAAGCUGUAACGAAACACUCAGGUUCUGCUUGAUGUCAGUUGGAGACUGUUUCUCAAAAGCUGGGAGAAUAAACACGAUGGAUUUGUUUUACAGCGACAGCGCCUGUUUGAAAUGGAAAAAAACAAACAAAAACUUCACUGGAAUUCCUAAAAAAAAAAGAAAAACCAAGAUGGAUGCCUCGUGUUCUAACAUUUAGCCGUUGUUAGCUGUUGUUGGCUGUUUUCUGCUAUACCAGUUGAAAACAACACAUAACAGUAUUUUACUCAUACUUAGUACUGUGUCUGCAGUUAGACGUUGGGCAGUACUACAUAUACUACUUCGUUAAUUUCACAAAAACAAACAGAAGUGCUAAUAAAUAAAACAUUAAGAGAGCUUUCACUGUUACUCUUGGUUUCUGAUGCAUGGUGCCAUCUUGGAUGAUAACACUGCAAUCAAGUCAGGGUGGGUGAGGGUCAUCCGACUUUCUGAGUCAGCAAUCCCACUUCAGAGGGGCGUUACAGAUAAAUUAACCAACUAGGAACUUAAACAUUCGGACUUCCCAGAACAACUGGAAAGCAGCAUUAGUCUUGAUAGGCUGUUAACUCUGGGGACUCAGCAAUUUGACCACUAUGGGAAAAUUGAAAUUCUACACCGACACCAGAUAAAAAUCUGAUUAUCAAAAAAAUAACCAUACCAACCAAAUUAACCAAAUUACCGUAAAAGGAAGUCCUGGAUAUGUGUGGGCUUAUGCUGCGUUCAAAUUAGCUCGGAAGUCAGAUGUCCGAACUGGGAAUGAGGUCACACCCAAGUUACCAGCAUUUCAGUCACAAAGUCGGAAAAAAGCAAAAUCGUAAAGAUGGCUACAUUUCAAAGAUGUAGCCAUCUUGUUUCCGCCUCCGAUUUUGCUUUUUUAUGACCUGGAGACUGAAAUGCUGGUAACUCGGCUUUGACGUUAUUCCCAGCUCGGACAUCUGACUUCCAAGGUACUUGAACACAGCAUUAUAUAGGAUGCCUUUGUCAGGAUGAGUCAUGGUUGGUAAAAACUUUACAAAAAGUUAGGUGUAACAUUUUGAAUAAAAUGUGGUGCAGCAUGACUGGCUUUAUUUUCAGUUCAAGCUAGGUGGAGCAUUAAUUACUAAGCUAAACAUGAGUGGCAGUUCAUAUCAGCAUAUAAGUGGAGCGACAAAGUGCAAAAAAAGGAAAAAGGAGAGCAAGGAAAAGCCAGAUUACCAAAAUUAGACUCAUAUUUUGUUUGUGCUCUUGGACAUGAACCUCAGAUGAGUCAGUUCAGCGCCACAGAUACCAACUCAAUACCUUUGAAUUUGUUGUUUUGUUUUAUUAUAAGGAGCCAGGUCUGAUGUUUAUGUUGUUCUCUUGUUUGUUAGACUUUAUGUCUGUUUAACUGACUUCAAAAUGACGUAGCCAUAAGUUGCAGACAUAUGUAUAUAAGUGAUACUAUCAUGAGCCAAAUUGGGUUCAAAGGGCCUGAUCAUGUGCCCCGCCCCUGGCCCGGCACUGAUUUGUUCCGCUAGUGCAGAAAAUGUGUUCCUGGUUAAACAAAAUAAAAAAAACUGAAAACAAAAAUAAAAUACUCUUAGCUGACUUCCAGACUGUCCUCAAACAUCCUAGAAAAAAAAACAAAAAAAAAAAAAAAAAACAAUCAAAGCAGCUCCGGAAGUCUCCACUGUUUUUUUUCCCGUCUUUAUUCUUUGUGGCGAAACAAGGAGCAGGCAGUUUGCUGGCAGUAGGAGGUUUAGCAGCCUGGAGCUAACGGGAGCAUCAAACCACGGCUGUGUGUUUCCAUCUGCGUUCGUGUGUGUGUGUAUGUGCGUGCGUGUGCGUGUGUCUGGGGCUGCUGUUGUUGCUGCUGCUGCUGCGGCUGCUGCUACCACUUGCCUCCGUCUCCUCCCGUCUCUGGCCUAAUCAACAAAACAGCCUCAGCUGCCCCUUCGGAUCCCCUGCCAGGGUCCCUAUCAUCCUCUGAUCAAAUAUUAAUGUGUGAUACUGAGCUUGCUCACUAAUCCAAAGCCAAUUAAUAUUAUCUGUCAAUUAUUUACAGAUCCUGAGGUGCGGAGGCAGAUCCCCGAGGACUACAUCGGCCAGGUUCAGAAUACGAAAUUGAGCCCCCCCCUCAACACGCACACACACACACACACCUUGGCCCCUUUAUUCUUUCUUCCUCUCUCCCCCCCUUUCUGCAUUUUCCUCUCUUUUUUCCUCUCUUUUCAUCCCCUCCUUCCUUUUUUGUUUAUGUGUGUCUUUUAAAGCCUAAAUGGUUGUCUUUUCAGCAGUUCAGGGCAAGCGGCGCAGGAUGCUGCUCGGGCAUUAGCAUUGCUGAUAUAUCUGACAUAGGAGGAUGUGUGGGGGGAUUUUCUCUCUGCUAGGGCUUUGUGUCUGAAUCUCACUCAUACAGUGCAGUCAGGGAAUACUGUUAUUAGUUUUUAUCACUGAUGCGCAACAACAUGACAUAUGUUUCAAAUCCCUGCGCCUAGUGAUUCGGAUUGUUAGCUGCGAUCACUUCCAUUGUUAUUCCGAUAGACGCUGAAUUUGCUUUCGCUUUACAUUUUCAUUCUUGGAGGCAGCCUUGCAAGGGUUAGCGCGGGUUGACUAACACACACAUACACACAGAGAGUGACACACUCCAGUAAUCAGUCAUCACUGUUUAUCACAGGCUGUUUUUGUCCUUUACUUUCUGUCUCACUUAUUUGAUGGCUGAGAGAAGCGGCGGCUCGGUGGUAAUGGAGUUUUCACCCUCAGAAGUCUUUAUUCCACACAGAACAGAGACUCGGCUGCAGCCUCGGCCUCUUGUAGCUCAUGGAGCUGUCUGUGCAGGGGGUGGUGGGUGGGCCCGUGGGGGUCUUGGGUGGGGGGGGUGGAGGGGGGUUGGAGGGGCUGGAGCUGGAGCUGGUGGUGGUGGUGUUUUGGGCGGGGGUGGAGAAAAGACCGGCAUCUGAGAGGGAAUAAUGACGGCCGGUGGUUUGGAUCCCUUGAGCCACAAAGCUAGCUCUUCUCCCUCUACAGAAGGGGAGAAUAAAGGCCGCAGAAGAAAGGCAGGAUGAAAGCAGGGGGAGUCGUUUCUGACAGCAAAUUUGUGCUGCAACUAAACUCCUACCACCUCCCAUAAUGCACUUUGACCUGCCAGGACCCCUAAUUGGCUGGCUAUGGGAGGAGUUGCUAAAUAUCAAGACAUCAGUCCACUUCUAUGUCUUCCAAUUUCCCAAACUAGUCGGCCCUGGGAUGUGAUGCGCAUGUGGUGUUUGUCGGCUCACUUGUACCAUAUAUGUUUCACUAACUAGCUCUUCUACUUUCAGUUCUGCCUUCAUCACAUCUUUGUCCGCUGGUCUUUCUAAUAAGGAGAGAUGAGUUGUUUUGCCAGUGUUAUUCCCCCCCACCAAAUGUGAGCGGGAAAGAUGGCUUCCUCUCGUUAGCUGUGCCUUCACUGCUCAGAUCUCACCGUUUGUGGGAGCAGAGUAAUCUGAUAUGUAAAUAUAGUGUUUGAUCCAAAGCGAUAGUCUAACGAGCAAAAAUCUCUACUUUUCCCCGCCUUUCCUGCACUAGUAAUUAAAACAAAGCCUGUUUGGGCUUUUCUCCUCCAUCUCCCGUCUUUUCUGUCUGUCUCUUCCUCGUCUUUCCGCCUCACUUUCCUCUCCUCUCACUCUCAUGUUUUCUGCCUCUCUGUGUCUCCUCUUUGACACAAGCGCAGCGCAGUCUUGAUUUUUACACGUUUCAUCCUUUACGUUAGGCAGCUGCUGCAUAUUUUGUCUGAGCUGUUGCUGUGAAGUACGUUUGUCAUAUUGGAAACGCGAUGUUUGAAGCCGGGCUCUUUUGAAGUGGCUGAUGUGGGGCUGUUUUAACUGGAAGGCAAAGGGACGGCGCUCGCCCGUAAUGGGGGAGUAUUCAAAUGACUGACCUCUAGAUGACAGACCCAACCAACUGCGCUAUGAAUAAACAGCAGCUUGAUGUGGUGCUUUACACUGCGCUUUGUUCAGGUGUUGAUAUCAUGUUCCUAUCAUACUGCCUGCUAAAUGACUGAAGGUCACUGGUGUCUGUGCAUAGCCCUGAGAUCCAUUUAGCUAAGAGCUCAACAGUGAAAAGACUGUGAGUGGGAGCACAGAGCCAAUCCCCCUGGCGAGGCGUGUGUAUGUGUGUGUCUUAUAGUGUGGAAACGAUGAUGAGCAGGUUGUCAAUGAGUCCUAAAACCCAUAUGAUGAUAAUUUGCUUAAUAUGUAAGAUUAGUAAUAAAGAAUGAUUCACUUAUCCCAGAGCUGGCAUACAAACGGCACAUUAAAACAAGGCUUCAACCAAAGGAGGGUGAGGGGGGCACUUAUCAUUGAAAGCUUUUAAUCAGGCUUUUCAUAUUGGCCAUUUAUAUCUCUUCACUAUAUAAAGGCUGACGUACAACUGAAUACCACUUUUAUUUCAGCUCAAAGAUUCAGAAUGCUCUUUUCUGAUUUAUUUUUCAAUCAUGGUUUGGACUCUUCGUUUUUUUUCUCUGAUUAUUUAUAAUUACGUUUUCGGUUUUUGUGUGUUUGUGUUGGUUGUUUUUGUGUGUUUCGUAGUUUCAGUGCAGCAGUGGCCGGUGGAUGCAUGGAGACACAGGUUUCCCUGAUCAGGGGCAACGAGAAGCUGCUCUUAAGCUCAAGCUCAGGCUUCUGCGGGCUGCCAGUUCGUGCCAGCCUAACAAGUGGUAUCCAGGUUCUUUAUUGUGUGCUUGUGUACUAUUGUCAAAGUUUUUUCCUGCGCAGUCUGCUUUACUUACCCUGUUUCUCUUUGUCGCCACAGUGAUCUCCAUGCUACCCUCAGCGCCUCCACCUCCAGCCUGCAACCCUUUCACUUUUGGGCAAUCUCAGUUGCUCGAACUCAACAAAACAACUCUGUUUGGAAUAAAACCUGAUCACUCUA